rnacentral:rRNA from 1 species
UGGGGAAUAUUGCACAAUGGGCGCAAGCCUGAUGCAGCGACGCCGCGUGAGGGAUGACGGCCUUCGGGUUGUAAACCUCCGUUAGCAGGGAAGAAGAGAAAUUGACGGUACCUGCAGAGAAAGCGCCGGCUAACUACGUGCCAGCAGCCGCGGUAAUACGUAGGGCGCGAGCGUUGUCCGGAAUUAUUGGGCGUAAAGAGCUUGUAGGCGGUUUGUCGCGUCUGCUGUGAAAGGCCGGGGCUUAACCCCGUGUAUUGCAGUGGGUACGGGCAGACUAGAGUGCAGUAGGGGAGACUGGAAUUCCUGGUGUAGCGGUGGAAUGCGCAGAUAUCAGGAGGAACACCGAUGGCGAAGGCAGGUCUCUGGGCUGUAACUGACGCUGAGAAGCGAAAGCAUGGGGAGCGAACAGGAUUAGAUACCCUGGUAGUCCAUGCCGUAAACGUUGGACACUAGGUGUGGGGGACAUUCCACGUUUUCCGCGCCGUAGCUAACGCAUUAAGUGCCCCGCCUGGGGAGUACGGCCGCAAGGCU